CCUACCCUUUCCACGCAUCCUAACACUGCCAGCCAGACUCCAUUUCACACUUCGACAGAGCAGGAGGAGGAAAACAGGACUGAGAGCAGCUUCUCCUGAUUCUGGCAUGCACUCAAUUAAGAGUGACCGGUCUAAAGACAUCAGUAAUGAACCUGGACCCUCAGACACAAAAAGGAGAGCAGAGUCUCCAGUCCCCAGCUGUCUGUCUAUGAAGAGUGACCGGUCUGAAGAGGAACCUCCAGACUUCAGAGAUGAACCCGGACCCUCAGACACAAAG